rnacentral:rRNA from 1 species
CCUACGGGAGGCAGCAGUGGGGAAUAUUGCGCAAUGGGCGAAAGCCUGACGCAGCAACGCCGCGUGAGGGGUGACGGCCUUCGGGUUGUAAACCUCUUUCAGCAGGGAAGAAGCGAAAGUGACGGUACCUGCAGAAGAAGCACCGGCUAACUACGUGCCAGCAGCCGCGGUAAUACGUAGGGUGCAAGCGUUGUCCGGAUUUAUUGGGCGUAAAGAGCUCGUAGGCGGUUAGUCACGUCGGAUGUGAAAUCCCGGAGCUUAACUCCGGGCCUGCAUUCGAUACGGGCUGACUCGAGUAUUGUAGGGGAGACUGGAACUCCUGGUGUAGCGGUGAAAUGCGCAGAUAUCAGGAAGAACACCGGUGGCGAAGGCGGGUCUCUGGGCAAUUACUGACGCUGAGGAGCGAAAGCGUGGGGAGCAAACAGGAUUAGAUACCCUGGUAGUCCACGCCGUAAACGGUGGGCGCUAGGUGUGGGGACCCUUCCACGGUCUCCGUGCCGCAGCUAACGCAUUAAGCGCCCCGCCUGGGGAGUCGGCCGCAAGGCUAAAACUCAAAUGAAUUGACGGCNGAGACGNGCCGAGACGACGACGAGGGAGAGG